rnacentral:rRNA from 1 species
AAGUUGAGUGGCGGACGGGUGAGUAACGCGUGGGUAACCUGCCUUACACAGGGGGAUAACACUUAGAAAUAGGUGCUAAAACCGCAUAAGCGCACAGCUUCGCAUGAAGCGGUGUGAAAAACUCCGGUGGUGUAAGAUGGACCCGCGUCUGAUUAGCUUGUUGGCGGGGUAACGGCCCACCAAGGCGACGAUCAGUAGCCGGCCUGAGAGGGCGGACGGCCACAUUGGGACUGAGACACGGCCCAGACUCCUACGGAAGGCAGCAG